GCAAGUCGAGCGAACAGAAGGGAGCUUGCUCCCGGAUGUUAGCGGCGGACGGGUGAGUAACACGUGGGUAACCUGCCUGUAAGACUGGGAUAACUCCGGGAAACCGGAGCUAAUACCGGAUAGUUCCUUGAACCGCAUGGUUCAAGGAUGAAAGACGGUUUCGGCUGUCACUUACAGAUGGACCCGCGGCGCAUUAGCUAGUUGGUGGGGUAAUGGCUCACCAAGGCGACGAUGCGUAGCCGACCUGAGAGGGUGAUCGGCCACACUGGGACUGAGACACGGCCCAGACUCCUACGGGAGGCAGCAGUAGGGAAUCUUCCGCAAUGGACGAAAGUCUGACGGAGCAACGCCGCGUGAGUGAUGAAGGUUUUCGGAUCGUAAAGCUCUGUUGUUAGGGAAGAACAAGUGCGAGAGUAACUGCUCGCACCUUGACGGUACCUAACCAGAAAGCCACGGCUAACUACGUGCCAGCAGCCGCGGUAAUACGUAGGUGGCAAGCGUUGUCCGGAAUUAUUGGGCGUAAAGGGCUCGCAGGCGGUUUCUUAAGUCUGAUGUGAAAGCCCCCGGCUCAACCGGGGAGGGUCAUUGGAAACUGGGAAACUUGAGUGCAGAAGAGGAGAGUGGAAUUCCACGUGUAGCGGUGAAAUGCGUAGAGAUGUGGAGGAACACCAGUGGCGAAGGCGACUCUCUGGUCUGUAACUGACGCUGAGGAGCGAAAGCGUGGGGAGCGAACAGGAUUAGAUACCCUGGUAGUCCACGCCGUAAACGAUGAGUGCUAAGUGUUAGGGGGUUUCCGCCCCUUAGUGCUGCAGCUAACGCAUUAAGCACUCCGCCUGGGGAGUACGGUCGCAAGACUGAAACUCAAAGGAAUUGACGGGGGCCCGCACAAGCGGUGGAGCAUGUGGUUUAAUUCGAAGCAACGCGAAGAACCUUACCAGGUCUUGACAUCCUCUGACAACCCUAGAGAUAGGGCUUUCCCUUCGGGGACAGAGUGACAGGUGGUGCAUGGUUGUCGUCAGCUCGUGUCGUGAGAUGUUGGGUUAAGUCCCGCAACGAGCGCAACCCUUGAUCUUAGUUGCCAGCAUUUAGUU
rnacentral:rRNA from 1 species